rnacentral:rRNA from 1 species
AACGACGCUGGCGGUGCGCCUAACACAUGCAAGUCGAGCGCGAAAGUCCCUUCGGGGCGAGUAGAGCGGCGGACGGGUGAGUAAUACAUGGGUAAUCUACCCCCGAGCUUGGGAUAACCCCGCGAAAGCGGGCUAAUACCUGAUAAGACCACAUAACACAAGUUGUGUGGUAAAAGGUGGCUUGAAUUUAUUCUAGCUAUCACUUGAGGAUGAGUCCAUGGCCUAUCAGCUUGUUGGUGAGGUAAGAGCUUACCAAGGCUAUGACGGGUAGCUGGUCUGAGAGGACGACCAGCCACACUGGGACUGAGACACGGCCCAGACUCCUACGGGAGGCAGCAGUGGGGAAUAUUGGGCAAUGGGCGAAAGCCUGACCCAGCGACACCGCGUGGGUGAUGAAAGCCUUCGGGUUGUAAAGCCCUUUCGUGCGGAAAGAACUGUUCCGCGGUUAAUACCCGCGGAAUUUGACGGUACCGCAGGAAGAAGCACCGGCUAACUCCGUG